UACGGAGGGUGCAAACGUUGCUCGGAAUCAUUGGGCGUAAAGCGCACGUAGGCGGCCUGUUAAGUCGGAUGUGAAAGCCCCGGGCUCAACCCGGGAAGUGCAUUCGAAACUGGCGGGCUUGAAUAUGGAAGAGGGUCGCGGAAUUCCCGGUGUAGAGGUGAAAUUCGUAGAUAUCGGGAGGAACACCGGUGGCGAAGGCGGCAUCCUGGACCGAUACUGACGCUGAGGAGCGAAAGCCAGGGGAGCAAACGGG
rnacentral:rRNA from 1 species